rnacentral:tRNA from 1 species
ACUUAGAUAGCUUAAUAAGAGCAUAACACUGAAGAUGUUAGGGUGGUAUAAUUGCCUUUGAG